rnacentral:rRNA from 1 species
UACAGAGGUGGCAAGCGUUGUUCGGAAUUACUGGGCGUAAAGGGCGCGUAGGCGGUUCGUUAAGUCCUGUGUGAAAGCCCCCGGCUUACCCGGGGAUCUGCAUCCCAAACUGCUUGGCUUGAGUACGGGAGAGGAUAGGGGAAUUCCUGGUGUAGCGGUGAAAUGCGUAGAUAUCAGGAGGAACACCGGUGGCGAAGGCGCCUAUCUGGCCCGAUACUGACGCUGAGGCGCGAAAGCUAGGGGAGCAAACGGG